UACGUAGGGGGCAAGCGUUAUCCGGAAUCACUGGGUGUAAAGGGUGCGUAGGCGGUAUAUUAAGUAAGGUGUGAAAGCCCGUGGCUCAACCACGGGAUUGCACUUUAGACUGGUAAACUAGAGUACAGGAGAGGUAAGCGGAAUUCCUAGUGUAGCGGUGAAAUGCGUAGAUAUUAGGAAGAACACCAGUGGCGAAGGCGGCUUACUGGACUGAAACUGACGCUGAGGCACGAAAGCGUGGGGAGCGAACAGG
rnacentral:rRNA from 1 species